CACGUAGGGGGCAAGCGUUGUCCGGAUUUAUUGGGCGUAAAGAGCUCGUAGGCGGCUCAGUUAGUCGGGUGUGAAACCCCCGGGCUCAACCCGGGGACGCCACCCGAUACUGCUGUGGCUAGAGUCCGGUAGGGGAGCGUGGAAUUCCUGGUGUAGCGGUGAAAUGCGCAGAUAUCAGGAGGAACACCAGCGGCGAAGGCGGCGCUCUGGGCCGGAACUGACGCUGAGGUGCGAAAGCGUGGGGAGCAAACAGG
rnacentral:rRNA from 1 species